UUCUCUCCACUCUGAUCAUCAUCUUUGGAGAACGAUAGCUGGUCUUUCUUUCUCCUGACGAUGCCUCUUCCUCCAGUGAUGCCUCUUAGUUCGAAGCCCUCUCUUUCCAAACAAAAUCCAAACAUCCUUUGUUUAGAUCAAAAAAUCCAGAAGAAGGAGCCCUUCAUCUGGACAAUGAGUGUCAUCCAAACGAGUUGCCGUCCCAAACGAUAAUGAUGAGACCAAGGCCUCUUCGUCCUCUGCGGUAUAAGCAAGUGAUGUCAAUUGGAUGCAAAUUAUUAAUAGAUUUUUUAUUAUCUAAAGACUCCAAGAUUGAAGUCUACAACACUUUCUUUUUUUCUUUUUUUUAAUUUUAUGGUAUGAAUGAUCUGACCUAUCGCGUACCAAGUUCUCCAUAAAAAUGAAGAAACGGUUUCUGUUCUGUGGUACUAAAAGAUUUGCAAUAUUGUUCACCAUAAUCUGAAGAAAAAUUGUAGAAUGGCCAGAUACAGCAUGGAAGCUGAGAGGUUGCAGAGGCUACAGAAUCUUGGCGCCGGAGGAGAUGAGGAUGCAUUAUUUUCAAUACUUGCGGAGGAUCCGCAUGUUUUGGAGGAUCUGAUAAGAUCCCAUUUGUGCAACUCCCUUACACACAGCUGCAAGCCAAGGAAAGAUCCAUUUCGCCAAGGAAAUACUCAACUUAAUGCCAUCAUUUGCUUCGAAGCGAGACCAUCUUGAGUUUAGCCCCCUCCAUUUGGCUUUGGAGGGGAAGCACGUGCAGGAAGGGCUUAUUCCCCGUGAUUCGGAUUUGGAGGAAAAGUACCAGGAAGUUGUAACAUGGUUGGUAAAACAUGACAGUGGGCUUGUCCGUGUUAAAGCAAGGGGGAUGGUUACUCCUUUUCAUUAUGCAGCUCUACUAGACGAUGAACUUUGGCUGACUUUUUGUAUGUUUGUCCAUCAUCAAUCGAAGAUUUGACUGUUAAAGCUGAAACUGCUGUCCAUGUCGCCCUAAAAGACGGGAGUUUCAAAGCAGUUAAAGUCUUGUAAGGAUGGCUUCGACGCUUUAACAAAGAAGAGAUGCUGUACUCGAAGGACGAGGAAGGAAACAAUGCAUUGCAUACUGCAGUAUAUGCAAAUCAACCUGAGGCCGUGAAGUUGUUGAUUGGAUGUAUGAAAGUAAAUAAAAAGAACAGUAAAAGUUUCACAGCUUUGGACAUCUUCUAUGAUCGCCAAGGUCAAGGUUUGGAAGAUGCAGCAGUUGGGGGACAUUCUAGUUGCUGCUAAAGCUAAAAGAGCAUCUGAAUCCUAUACAAGUCUUACAAAAGUAAGUCGUUAUCUAUUCGGUUCAGGACAAACUUCACUAGUUGAGUACUUUUUUGGAGGCUUAUCGAUUCCAAGCAGGAUCCUCGCUAGGUUACCAAAGAGUUGAUGAAGUUCCUCUUGAAGUCCGAAAUGUACUACUUGUGGUGGCUAUAUUGGUAGCCACAACCAUCUAUCAAGCUGCACUAAGCCCCCCCGGAGGAUAGCAAUCUGCAGCAUGCAAACAACACUACUGGUAUCCGUAACACCACCGCCACCAUUAACACUGACUCCAUCACCGACAUCCCUAAUGCAGAGUUUUAUGGACACUUUGCAGGGAAGAUGAUUUCUCAGUCCGAAAGCCAGCUAUUAUCUUUUACACUUAAUUCUUUGGCCUUUUUUAUGUCUUCGUGCUUAAUUUCGAUUCUCGUAACCGGCCUCCCAUUUUACAGAACCAUUAUCACAAUGACAUCUUUGCUGGUACUUCCGCAUUA